AUGAUUAUUCGUUCGCUGGAACCAGAAGUAAUUUUUUGUGUGGAUAGGGGUCCUAUAAAAACAUCUUUUGGGGAAUGGGCCAGACCCGGCCAUUUCUCAAGAACACUAGCUGAGGGCCCUGAUACUACCACUUGGAUCUGGAACCUACAUGCUCAUGCUCACGAUUUUGAUAGUCAUACUGGUGAUUUGGUGGAGAUUUCUCGAAAAGUCUUUAGUGCUCAUUUCGGGCAACUUUCCAUUAUCUUUCUUUGGUUGAGUGGCAUGUACUUUCAUGGCGCCCGUUUUUCCAAUUAUGAAGCAUGGCUAAGUGAUCCUAUUCACAUUGGACCCCGUGCCCAGGUAGUUUGGCCUAUAGUAGGGCAAGAAAUACUGAGUGGUGAUGUAGGCGGGGGUUUCCGAUGA
rnacentral:rRNA from 1 species